CCUGCGCGCGCACAGUCGGCGGCCGCGCGCAGCACGCUCGGGGCCGGGAUGGCGGCAGCGGUUGGAAGCGGGGCUCCCCGGGAGGAGGAGGGGCCAGGUGGGGACGCGGCGGCCCCGCAGCCUCAAGCCCCGACGAGUGUGCCCGGGGCUCGUCUCUCGAGGCUGCCUCUGGCGCGAGUGAAGGCCUUGGUGAAGGCGGACCCCGACGUGACGCUCGCGGGACAGGAAGCCAUCUUCAUUCUGGCACGAGCCGCGGAACUGUUUGUGGAGACCAUUGCAAAAGAUGCCUACUGUUGUGCUCAACAAGGGAAGAGGAAGACCCUUCAGAGGAGAGAUCUGGAUAAUGCAAUAGAAGCUGUGGAUGAAUUUGCUUUUCUAGAAGAGGCAGUACUGGGAAUUGAACGCAGGACCUCAGGCAUGCUGAGCAUGCGCUCUACCAUUUGAGAUAUACCCUCCCCAUGGAGCAUCUUUAUGCCGUCCACGUGUGGCCUGUGGCUUUGCUGGGAGAGCUGGAUCUGAAAUGAACAAGAGUCACCUUUUCCUGCAGGGGGUGCUGGCAGCUGUCAUCUUGGGACGUUGGACUGAUUGCUGAGCCGGGCAGUUUUGUGAGCCUGCACCUGCGUCCUUCAGCCAGGACCUCUGCAGGCCUCCGCUUUGAAGAACAGUCUUUGGAAUCCUGUACUUGUACCCUUUUCCUGUCCUACCUUCAACCUAAGCCUGGAUACGCAGAGAUUCACCUGUUACCUUUUCUCUGCAAGGUCUUCCACUGCCGUGUCUUCCAUUUUUGGCCUGGAUCAAUGCUGCUGCUACUUGCGGUAGAGGUACAGAGAGUGAUUUGUGUAGGUGGCUUCAUGAAUCAUAAGGACCAAAUAAAGGCAUCUGACAACUUCA